CUGGAAAAACACAAACUUGAGUGCGGCAGAAAAUAGUGGAAUUCCACGUGUACCGGUGAAAUGCUUAUACAUGUGGUGGAACUCCAGUGGCGAAAGCCACUCUUUGGUCCGUAACUGACGCUGGCGACCCAAAAGCGUGGGGAGCGAACAGGAUUCCCAAAAACUGGUAGUCCACGCCGUAAACAAUGAGUGCUAAGUGUUACGCGGUUUCCGCCCCUUGCUGCUUGAGCUAAGCAUUCACCCCUCCGCCCGGGGAGUACGGCCGCAAGGCUGAAACCCGGAGGAAUUGGCGGAGGCCCCCCCAAUCGGUGGAGCAUGUGGUUUCCCUCAAAGCCAGGGGAAGAAACUUACAACG
rnacentral:rRNA from 1 species